rnacentral:antisense_RNA from 3 species
AGAGAGGCUUCCACGUGGGCAACCGCUUGGGGGCCUUUUUCUUUUGC